UACUCAAUCAGUAUUCAAUAGGAACUUGCCAUGUACACCAUAUGCAAAACUACGCACCGUGCGUACCAUAGACGACGCCGCCGUAUAGGGCGAAGUCGCGAGCCGCUCAACUGUUUCUCUCUCAGAGCUUUCCGAGAACCGCCAUAGCACAAACACCGUCGCCUGUGCGUAGCGCGCAGCCCGGCGUAUUUCUCUUAUUGGACGCGAAUUUCCCGUUGAAUCGUUGAAAGAAUCAAUCCAAUCGAGUGAUCAAUCUAUUGAUCUUCAGAGGAUCGCUCUAUGUGGAUGCGGUAUCCUGUGGAGUCUAGGGUUUGGCUUGUACUUUUCUCCUGUUUGAUUCUUCUGAGCUGGUUUCCAGCCUCUGACGGAAUUUCCAAAUAUAAAAUGCAAGCGAUGUGAUCAUGUGGGUUCUAUGAGUAAGACAUCAUAAAUCGGAUGAUAUAUUUGAUGAGUGGGAGUUUUGCCCUUCUGAUUUUACAAACUAUGAUGGAAAAGCUACCCAUUCCAAGGACAAGGAAUUCAAGGCUACAUUUUCCUGUCCAGAUUGUGUACAUCUUGGAAGCGAUUCCAAAAAAUCCUCUGGGUCCCAUAAAGGACGGAAGGGAAUGCAUUGGGCCCUAAUAAUAAAAAUCAGUGCUCUGGUUUCAACUGUCUUCAUUCCUGGACUGUUGGCAGCGUACAAGUAUUGGCAGAAGAGAGAGAGGGAUCAGGAUCAUGUCCGGUUCCUGAAACUGUUUGAAGACGGCAGUGACAUUGAGGAUGAAUUAGGUAUCGGACCUCUUGGCGGUGUAAUUUGAUGUUAUAGCACAUUACAAAUUUACAACCAAAACCACUAUACAGGUAUGGAUUCAUCUGUGAAAGAGGAAAAAGGAGUUUUAAGUUAGAAUUUUUGUGCCCAAAUUUUGGCGUAGCAUAAGUGGGUGAGAGAUUCAUUGUUGUUUCUUAGAUUGUAUUUGUUAGUGGUUCAUAGCAAUGAGUGGAUCUUUCAAAGUAAGAGAUUGUAAUUUGGCAUGUGAAACAAAUAGACAAGAAUAUGCGAAAUAAAUGAAAAAAUAACCUUUGAGUUUAUAUACCAAAGUUAUUUGUCAA